CAUUACCGAGUUAUACAACUCAUCAACCCUGUGAACAUACCUAAAACGUUGCUUCGGCGGGAACAGACGGCCCCGUAACACGGGCCGCCCCCGCCAGAGGACCCCCUAACUCUGUUUCUAUUAUGUUUCUUCUGAGUAAAACAAGCAAAUAAAUUAAAACUUUCAACAACGGAUCUCUUGGCUCUGGCAUCGAUGAAGAACGCAGCGAAAUGCGAUAAGUAAUGUGAAUUGCAGAAUUCAGUGAAUCAUCGAAUCUUUGAACGCACAUUGCGCCCGCCAGUAUUCUGGCGGGCAUGCCUGUUCGAGCGUCAUUACAACCCUCAGGCCCCCGGGCCUGGCGUUGGGGAUCGGCGAGGCGCCCCCUGCGGGCACACGCCGUCCCCCAAAUACAGUGGCGGUCCCGCCGCAGCUUCCAUUGCGUAGUAGCUAACACCUCGCAACUGGAGAGCGGCGCGGCCAUGCCGUAAAACACCCAACUUCUGAAUGUUGACCUCGAAUCAGGUAGGAAUACCCGCUGAACUUAAGCAUAUCAAUAAGC
rnacentral:rRNA from 1 species